GAACUGAAGAGUUUGAUCAUGGCUCAGAUUGAACGCUGGCGGCAGGCCUAACACAUGCAAGUCGAGCGGAUGAAGGGAGCUUGCUCCUGGAUUCAGCGGCGGACGGGUGAGUAAUGCCUAGGAAUCUGCCUGGUAGUGGGGGAUAACGUCCGGAAACGGGCGCUAAUACCGCAUACGUCCUGAGGGAGAAAGUGGGGGAUCUUCGGACCUCACGCUAUCAGAUGAGCCUAGGUCGGAUUAGCUAGUUGGUGGGGUAAAGGCCUACCAAGGCGACGAUCCGUAACUGGUCUGAGAGGAUGAUCAGUCACACUGGAACUGAGACACGGUCCAGACUCCUACGGGAGGCAGCAGUGGGGAAUAUUGGACAAUGGGCGAAAGCCUGAUCCAGCCAUGCCGCGUGUGUGAAGAAGGUCUUCGGAUUGUAAAGCACUUUAAGUUGGGAGGAAGGGCAGUAAGUUAAUACCUUGCUGUUUUGACGUUACCAACAGAAUAAGCACCGGCUAACUUCGUGCCAGCAGCCGCGGUAAUACGAAGGGUGCAAGCGUUAAUCGGAAUUACUGGGCGUAAAGCGCGCGUAGGUGGUUCAGCAAGUUGGAUGUGAAAUCCCCGGGCUCAACCUGGGAACUGCAUCCAAAACUACUGAGCUAGAGUACGGUAGAGGGUGGUGGAAUUUCCUGUGUAGCGGUGAAAUGCGUAGAUAUAGGAAGGAA
rnacentral:rRNA from 1 species